rnacentral:lncRNA from 1 species
UGCUUCCAUUGUUUGUUGUGGGCUUGUAAAAAUAGAUGGCCAGCCCCUUAGGAGUUACAAAGUGAUCCACCCCUGAGCUAUAAAUACAAACUAUGCAGAACCUUCCUAAACAGUAAAACAGCAAGGAAAAUUAGUGAUAUAUGAGAAGUGUAUCUCAGGAGAGAAGUGAUAAAAUAACAACAGGAUGAAGACUAAGAUCACAAAGAAAAGCGGUUGUAGGUUAGAACCAGGGAGGGCAUAAGGAAAUGAUAUAAACAAUUUCUAGAAAUGAAACACAAAAGAAUAAAGAAAUGAUGCAAAUUGUCAUGAACCCUUCAUAGACAACUCACCAAUAGCAACUUGGAAAUCAAGAGAGAAAAUGCCAACAAUUACCUACGUGCUGUACGGGCUGUCUUGAGUCAGAAUUCUUCAUUCUUGUUAGAGCCAGCAUCUCCUAAUCGCCAUUAAUCAGAGCUAUCACCUUUCAAUCUAUGUGGGCAACACAGCAGUGGAUAAGUUCCCACCAACCCCCAUUAUCUGGACUACAAAUCCUUUAAUUUUUCAGACAAAAUCCUCUCUUGUGCAGUUGUCACUAAGGCAGAUGGCCACCAGCUGGGAGGGCAAUGGCCUGACAAUGAAAUUCCACUCUCAAGUAGGAAGCCAGGAGUGGGCUUUAUUUGCUGGGGGUGGGAGGUGAGGAUCUUUGUCUUUCAUUUUGCAUUUCCUUCCCUUCUGCUUCUUCUGUGUCUUCAGACCCUCUAAUGCCUACAACUCUGAACACCACAUCUGCUGUUACUGGCUUUGUAAAUAAACACUUGGGCAGAUUUCCUACA